rnacentral:rRNA from 1 species
AUUGAACGCUGGCGGCAUGCUUUACACAUGCAAGUCGAACGGUAACAGGGUGCUUGCACCGCUGACGAGUGGUGAACGGGUGAGUAAUGCGUCGGAACGUGCCGAGUAGUGGGGGAUAACGCAGCGAAAGUUGUGCUAAUACCGCAUACGUACUGAGGUAGAAAGUGGGGGACCUUCGGGCCUCACGCUAUUCGAGCGGCCGACGUCUGAUUAGCUAGUAGGUGAGGUAAAGGCUCACCUAGGCGACGAUCAGUAGCGGGGCUGAGAGGAUGAUCCGCCACACUGGGACUGAGACACGGCCCAGACUCCUACGGGAGGCAGCAGUGGGGAAUUUUGGACAAUGGGCGAAAGCCUGAUCCAGCCAUGCCGCGUGUCUGAAGAAGGCCUUCGGGUUGUAAAGGACUUUUGUCAGGGAGGAAAUCCCUAGUGCUAAUAACACUGGGGGAUGACAGUACCUGAAGAAUAAGCACCGGCUAACUACGUGCCAGCCGCCGCGGUAA